rnacentral:rRNA from 1 species
GACGAACGCUGGCGGCGUGCCUAAUACAUGCAAGUUGAGCGCUGAGGGUUUGUACUUGUACCGACUGCAUGAGCCGCGAACGUGUGAGUAACGCGUGUGACAUCUGCCUUUGUUCGGGGGACCUCAUUUGGAAACGAAUGCUAAUACCGCAUAAGCACUUUCAACACAGGUUUUAAGUUUGAAAUAUGCAAUUGCAUCACUCACUGAUGAUCCCGCGUUGUAUUAGCUAGUUGGUGAGGUAAAGGCUCACCAAGGCGAUGAUACAUAGCCGAACGGAGAGGGUGAGCGGCCAGAUUGGGACGGAGACACGGCCCAAAGGGCUACGGGAGGGAGCAGUAGGGAAACUUCGGCAAGGGAUGAAAGACUGAGCGAGCAACGCCGCGGGAGUGAAGAAGGUUUUCGGAUGGGAAAACACUGUUGGUAGGGAAGAACGUGGGUGAGAGUGGAAAGCUCAUCAAGUGACGGUAACUACCCAGAAAGGGACGGCUAACUACGUG